rnacentral:rRNA from 1 species
GAGUUUGAUCGUGGCUCAGAUUGAACGCUGGCGGCAGGCCUAACACAUGCAAGUCGAGCGGAUGAAGGGAGCUUGCUCCUGGAUUCAGCGGCGGACGGGUGAGUAAUGCCUAGGAAUCUGCCUGGUAGUGGGGGAUAACGUCCGGAAACGGGCGCUAAUACCGCAUACGUCCUGAGGGAGAAAGUGGGGGAUCUUCGGACCUCACGCUAUCAGAUGAGCCUAGGUCGGAUUAGCUAGUUGGUGGGGUAAAGGCCUACCAAGGCGACGAUCCGUAACUGGUCUGAGAGGAUGAUCAGUCACACUGGAACUGAGACACGGUCCAGACUCCUACGGGAGGCAGCAGUGGGGAAUAUUGGACAAUGGGCGAAAGCCUGAUCCAGCCAUGCCGCGUGUGUGAGAAGGUCUUCGGAUUGUAAAGCACUUUAAGUUGGGAGGAAGGGCGAGUAAGUUAAU